rnacentral:tRNA from 1 species
UCUUGCCUUGCGCGAUCUAAGUCUAAGGAAAUACAAAAAUGCGCUUAUACACCAAUUUCAUCCACAUCGAAUUUAUAUAUCAGAAUAGCAGAUAGAGGCAUUAUUCAAGGGGUCAGGUCUACUUACUUUAUCUUUCUUUCCCAUUUUAUUGUGGGUUUGAUAAGAACCUUUUUUGCUUUGUGGAUAAAUAAAAAAAAAGAGUUUUUUUUUUUAACCCGCUUGUUUUAUUCUAACAAAUUCUAUAUGGAACUGCCCGCUGAAGAGAAAAAAGAUCUGAUUGUCUUUCAGCCUAUAUCGAAUUUUGGAAAGAAAAAACCAGAAUUUUCUUCUUUUUUUUAUUAACAUUAAGAAAAAAGAAUAUAAUUAAAAUGGAAUUGGCAAUAUAAUUUUUAUGCACUUUUGAAAUGAAAGAAAAAGGAAGGAUUUUUGACAAUCGUUAUUUCUUGCCUCUGCCAUAUCAUGAAAACCUUUCGAUUUGGAACGGGGAGAGAUGGCUGAGUGGACUAAAGCGGCGGAUUGCUAAUCCGUUGUACAAUUUUUUUGUACCGAGGGUUCGAAUCCCUCUCUUUCCGCCCCCUCGGAUCAUUUGGGACUUUCGAAUUGUAAGGAAUUCUGACCCCCGGAUUUUCUCAUAAAUAAAUGUACGAAAUAAAUCCAA